AUGUGUAGGAUAGGUGGGAGGCUUUGAAGCGUGGACGCCAGUCUGCGUGGAGCCGACCUUGAAAUACCACCCUUUAAUGUUUGAUGUUCUAACGUGGACCCGUUACCCGGGUUGCGGACAGUGUCUGGUGGGUAGUUUGACUGGGGCGGUCUCCUCCUAAAGAGUAACGGAGGAGCACGAAGGUUGGCUAAUCCUGGUCGGACAUCAGGAGGUUAGUGCAAUGGCAUAAGCCAGCUUGACUGCGAGCGUGACGGCGCGAGCAGGUGCGAAAGCAGGUCAUAGUGAUCCGGUGGUUCUGAAUGGAAGGGCCAUCGCUCAACGGAUAAAAGGUACUCCGGGGAUAACAGGCUGAUACCGCCCAAGAGUUCAUAUCGACGGCGGUGUUUGGCACCUCGAUGUCGGCUCAUCACAUCCUGGGGCUGAAGUAGGUCCCAAGGGUAUGGCUGUUCGCCAUUUAAAGUGGUACGCGAGCUGGGUUUAGAACGUCGUGAGACAGUUCGGUCCCUAUCUGCCGUGGGCGCUGGAGAACUGAGGGGGGCUGCUCCUAGUACGAGAGGACCGGAGUGGACGCAUCACUGGUGUUCGGGUUGUCAUGCCAAUGGCACUGCCCGGUAGCUAAAUGCGGAAGAGAUAAGUGCUGAAAGCAUCUAAGCACGAAACUUGCCCCGAGAUGAGUUCUCCCUGAGACUUAGAGUCUCCUGAAGGAACGUUGAAGACGACGACGUUGAUAGGCCGGGUGUGUAAGCGCAGCGAUGCGUUGAGCUAACCGGUACUAAUGAACCGUGAGGCUUAACCUUACAACGCCGAAG
rnacentral:rRNA from 1 species